CUACAAUGGACAAUACAAAGGGCAGCGAAACCGUGAGGUCAAGCAAAUCCCAUAAAGUUGUUCUCAGUUCGGAUUGUAGUCUGCAACUCGACUACAUGAAGCUGGAAUCGCUAGUAAUCGUAGAUCAGCAUGCUACGGUGAAUACGUUCCCGGGUCUUGUACACACCGCCCGUCACACCACGAGAGUUUGUAACACCCGAAGCCGGUGGAGUAACCUUUUAGGAGCUAGCCGUCGAAGGUGGGACAAAUGAUUGGGGUGAAGUCGUAACAAGGUAGCCGUAUCGGAAGGUGCGGCUGGAUCACCUCCUUU
rnacentral:rRNA from 1 species